GCCUUUCGUUUGUUUUAGCCAGACGCCAGGUUUUAGGCUGCCACCAGAGGCGGGGCAUAGGCACUAAAGCAACAAGACAAUAGAAGCCUACAUCUUGCCCAAGAUAAUUAGCUUACAUGCUGAUGACAAGGACAUCACUUCUCACAGAUGGAGAGUUUGGAGAGGAAGGAGUGGGGGAAUGUGGUCAGACUCAAAGAUUUGGACAGGUGGAGUCAGACUGGAGCUCUACCCAAUAGACCUCCAAGGUAGUACUUGGCAACUAGCUGAAAGAAAAGAAGAGAUGGCAAUUUUCAUAAUUUUUGCCACACUUUCAAUGACUUGUGACACUGUUACCCUAGUUCCUCUACAUUAUUCAAAAUUUACCAUGAAAAUAGGGAGAGACGAGAUCAAAGACAAUAUAGGAGGAAGUGAAAACAGAAAAUCCAGGCAGUAGAGACACAAGAACAGAAUGACAAAGAAAAUUUAUUCCUUGAGACACAGUGCCUCUUAAUGGACUCUGACAAGAAACACUGCCACCAGGAAUGAAGGCGUUGGAGAAUGACAAGAGUGGUGGGAGAAAAUCAAUUGAUUUGACCUAAGAUUCCAGGCAAUGAAGGCUGCUGAGGUAAUACAAUGAGAUACUGUCCUGCAUUGGAGUAUGGAAGGACAAGAUUGACUGCCACCUACAUCAGUAAUUAUAUAUGCAUUGGUUUCCACAGCUGGAUCCAGAAUAAAUAAUUUACAACAUUACCUUGGAAUAAAGUUGUCUUCAGAAGCAAGCAAGUACCUUAGGUGAACUUGUUUAUGUAUUAUCACUGGAUGAACAGAUUGGGUAGAAACCUGAGCUAAUGGUGCUUAUGUCUGUUGAGCCAGAUUUGAUCAUUGUACAGUACCUUGUGUCAAGUCAAGCUGCACUUGGCACAGGGCCUAACGAGAGGGAAGGUUUCUCUAAGCCCCUUUUCCACUCCCCUGAUCCUGCAGCUGGUUCAGCCUCUGGCAUAACUUUGGGAGGGUAGAGAUGGCUGUGCCAGCUGUAUGGCACCCAGUGAUUUCCCUACAUGAGAGGAAUCCCUAGCAGCCCCAUUAAUGCAGAUUUCCAGUUUCUUUGCCAAGUAGUCAGAUGGAGGAGGACCAAGGAUUUGGCCCAUUGUGAGUUAUAAUAAUGUAUAACAAUAGUACUUUUCACUUACACAUCACCUUCUAUUCCAGGAUCUGAGAGCACUUUACGAAUAUUAAUGAAUUUAGUUUCACAGCACCCCUGUGAGGUAGCGAUAUAAGUGACUUGCCCAAGGUCAUAUGAGAAAUAUGUGGGAGAGGAAUAGAGUAAAUCCUGGUCUCUCAAGUAUUGCUCCUAUCUCUUAACCAUGAGAUCUUCCCUCCCCCAAAGUUCAGUUUGGUUGACCCCCUUCAAAUGUUUGUAUUAAGACUUAUGUAGGUCAGGUCUCAUUUUUCUAGGGCUCCCCUCUGAAAACAGAUAUUUUGUUGAAGGAUGAAUAAGUUUAUGCCCUUUAGGGGCAAGACUUUCCCCUGCCUAUUUGGUUGCAUGUACUCCCUUAACAGCAGAGCCAGUGCAGUUUUACUGCCUAUGGAAGCAGGAUUUGGCAGGGUGCAAUGUGGAUAGAGAGUGCAACUCCAUGUUACAUACAGAUCAGUCUCUGAGAGCCACCUGCCUGCAGUGCAUAGGGGGCUGAUGGAAAAGGGACAUAGGUGAGAAGGGGCAGGGUGAGCCAAGGGAUCCACAUCUGCAUGAAUCUUCCCAUCCUCCUUCCCACGGAGGCUGCUUAUAUGGCUGGGGAACCUACUCCAACAUUAGCAUAGUCUUCACAGGAUUACUAUGAAGCCACAUCUUGGCCUGCAGAGAAGAUUUGCCUUCCCCUACACUCUGUCCAGGGCUUAGCUAGAACGGGCAAUGGGCAGGGCAUGUGACUUCAAAAAAGCAAGAUUUGGCACCCAGCCUCGGAUACUUGCCCUGAAAAAAACCCAUAAUGUAUUCAUAUGUUUUUUUUUAAAUGCAUUUUGGUUCUGUUAUAAUAAAAUGUGUAUUUGUGGAAUACGAAUGCUCCAUUCUGUUAGGAACCAACAACAGUGCCACCCAGAAACAUCACAUUGAGGUAGCAGACAAAUAUUACAUACAUCCCCACCCCACCUCACUACAAAAGAAACAUGCCGUAGAGGAUCAUACACAACCAUGAAUUAGAAUGAUCAGCCAUAUCAGACAAAUACAGUCCGGACAAGACAAAAUGGGUGAGAAAGAAGAUUGGAAGACUUUACCAGUUAGUUGCUUGAGAACUCUGACUUCUGGAGGAACUGUUCAAUGAACUUUUUAUACAAUGCUUUCUGUGACUUGUUCCUUCCAAAGGACGACACCUAGCUGAACAUGCAGUCCUUUGAGUUGAUUUCUCUCAUUUUUCCUUGUCUGAAUUAUUCAUCGAACACCCUGUAUUUAUUGCAAAUGGCCAUAAACAAAUGACUUUCCCUUUGUCUGUCUUUACUCAUGAUUUCUUUAUGCAGGUUGAAAAUAUUUCCCUAUGUUUAUUUAUU